GAAGGGUUCAGAAUGAGAUCCUUCAGUUCGGCUGGCUGGAACACAGGUGCUGCAUGGCUGUCGUCAGCUCGUGUCGUGAGAUGCUGGGUUAAGUCCCGCAACGAGCGCAACCCUCGCCUUUAGUUGCCAUCAUUUAGUUGGGCACUCUAGAGGGACUGCCGGUGAUAAGCCGGAGGAAGGUGGGGAUGACGUCAAGUCCUCAUGGCCCUUACGGGUAGGGCUACACACGUGCUACAAUGGUGGUGACAGUGGGCAGCGACACAGUGAUGUGAUGCUAAUCUCAAAAAGCCAUCUCAGUUCAGAUUGUACUCUGCAACUCGAGUACAUGAAGUUGGAAUCGCUAGUAAUCGUAGAACAGCAUGCUACGGUGAAUACGUUCCCGGGCCUUGUACACACCGCCCGUCACACCAUGGGAGUUGGUUUUACCUGAAGACGGUGU
rnacentral:rRNA from 1 species